CUGAAAUGAAGUCCAUUGCUCUCAAUGGGUCUACAAUGAGUAUGACUGAUGCUAGAUCACUCAGUAUAUUUACAUUAAAGAAACUGUGUUUAGAUUGUGUGUUUGUGUGUGUGUGUGUGUGUGUGUGUGUGUGUGUGUACAGAUGUCAGA